rnacentral:rRNA from 1 species
AUGCUAAAGGCCGCGGAGGUAGAAAUCAAGAAGGAGCAUCAAGUGUUGAUGGUUAACAAGACCACUAGUUUCAAGAAGAAGGGCAAAGGGAAGAAGGGGAACUUCAAGAAGAACGGCAAGCAAGUUGCUGCUCAAGUGAAGAAGCCCAAGUCUGGACCUAAGCCUGAGACUGAGGGCUUCUACUGCAAAGGGACUGGUCACUGGAAGCGGAACUGCCCCAAGUAUUUGGUGGAUAAGAAGGAUGGCAAAGUGAAAGGUAUAUUUGAUAUACAUGUUAUUGAUGUGUACCUUACUAAUGCUCGUAGUAGCGCCUGGGUAUUUGAUACUGGUUCUGUUGCUCAUAUUUGCAACUCGAAAAGGGGCUACGGAUUAAGCGAAGAUUGGCCAAGGACGAGGUGA